AGAAUAAAUAGCUUUUUUGUGUUUGCAAUAUCAAUAAUGCUCAGCUCUGGUUAUAGACCCUUUUUUACUUGGUGAUCUUAGUUGGGGCUUUUUGGUGCUAUUGAGAUUUUUUAACUUCUUUUUAUAUUACUUUUUGAAUUACUUUUCUGCCC